GAUGAACGCGUAGCGGCAGGCUUAAACACAUGCAAGUCGAGGGGCAUCGAGUAGAGUAGCUAAUACUUUUGUCGGCGACCGGCGGACGGUGCGUAACGCGUAUGCAACCUACCUUAUACAGGGGGAUAACCUUUCGAAAGGGAGACUAAUACCUGAUGGUGUUCAAAUUCCGCAUGUUAUUUGAACUAAAGAUUUAUCGGUAACGGAUAGGCUCGCGUGACAUUAGCUAGAUGGCGGGUAACGGCCCACCAUGGCAACGAUGUCUAGGGGUUCUGAGAGGAAGGUCCCCCACACUGGAACUGAGACACGGUCCAGACUCCUACGGGAGGCAGCAGUGAGGAAUAUUGGUCAAUGGUCGAGGGACUGAACCAGCCAUGCCGCGUGAAGGUGACGGCCCUAUGGGUCUUAAACUUCUUUUGUAAGGGAGCAAUAAGUUCUACGUGUAGGAUGAUGAGAGUACCUUACGAAUAAGCAUCGGCUAACUCCGUG
rnacentral:rRNA from 1 species